rnacentral:lncRNA from 1 species
AACAAUAAAUAUAUCAAAACUAAAAGAUUACAUGUGUAAGCAAUGCAAGGUGUCAACUCUUCCAACUUAAGUUUCAACCUUCAAAUAUUUUCUUACUUUUUGUGAAUUGCUGAGUGAUGAAUCUGAAAAUGCAUCAUAUGGUUAUAAACCCUGAAACCAAAUUUCCGAAAUCCUUGUAAUGCAGUUCCUGAGAAAAAUGUGACAAAAAUUUUAAACUUGGCUAUCAUGUGUAAAAUGAUACAAGUGUUCGGUAAACAGGAAGUUGUUGAGUGAUGAAUCUGAAAACGCAUCACACAGUAUAACUGACUUAUAUAAACCCUGAAACCAAAUUUCAGAAAUCCUUGUCAAGCAGUUCCUGAGUAAAAUGUGACAAAAAAUUU